rnacentral:rRNA from 1 species
UACGUAGGCAGCAAGCGUUGUUCGGAGUUACUGGGCGUAAAGAGUGCGUAGGCGGUUUCGUAAGUUUGGUGUGAAAUCUCCCGGCUUAACUGGGAGGGUGCGCCGAAAACUGCGGGGCUGGAGUGUGGGAGAGGUAAGCGGAAUUCCUGGUGUAGCGGUGAAAUGCGUAGAUAUCAGGAGGAACACCGGUGGCGAAGGCGCCACUCUGGGCCGAAACUGACGCUGAGGAGCGAAAGCGUGGGUAGCAAACAGG